AGCCCUAGGAGCUCCCCUCAACUGCAGAAGGAGCUUUGUAGUGAUUGAAGGAGAAAUCUGGAGUCCAAUUAACUGGAGUCAAAGAGGUUGGAGCACUUUGCAUCUGGUCUGUGCAGGCAGGAGGGACCAUAGGCACGGAGUGCUUGUGAGGGAGCACAGUGGAGAGGUGAGGAGAGGACCAGUGCAGAGAUGUCAUUUUCCCUUGCCCCAGACGUCUCUCUUUUCUUUGUUGAUGCUCUCUAUUCAAGCUUGCACCUAAAGUUGUAGGGUAGGUUCCCUGGAGGCACCUAUUUCUAUCACAGAGCGAAUAUGGCAAAAAAUCUCGCAGUGAAAUGACAUAUGGAC
rnacentral:lncRNA from 1 species